GCUCCCGUAGCCAAGCGGUAAGGCAUUGGUUUUACGCACCGACAUACGCUCGUUCGAUCCGAGCCGGGGGUACCA
rnacentral:tRNA from 1 species